AGGACAAGACAAAGGAAGAAACAUUUUCCAUUUUAAGAACCAAUCUUGGAUGCAAAGCUUCCCCAUGGAAGAUGACAUGGCUUAAGGCUGGCUUGCCUUUGAGAAACAGGUUACAGAUGGUUUUCUGCACAGAGAGAACCCAUAUCAGAACACAAUGUUUUCAUGAAGACUCUCAUUUCAUGUCUCCUGAAAUGUACUGAUGCUUUUUGAUAGUAAGUGAGAGCAAACCAAGAAAAAAUGCACAUUGUUCAUUAAGUCAUCUCGUAAGUCUUUCAAGAACGCUAUUUGAGAAAUGUUGAUUUCCACAUUGCUAUACCCUUUGGCACACUGAGAUGUAUUAACUGUGGUGCGGUGGUUAAGAAUCCAUCUGCCAACGCAGGGGACAUGGGUUCGAUCCCUGGUCUGGGAAGAUCCCAUAUGCCAUGGAGCAACUAAGGCCAUGCGCCACAACUACUGAGCCUGUGAGCCACAACUGCUGAAGCCCGCAGCCUAGAACCCAUGCUCUACAGCAAGAAAAGCCACCGCAAUGAGAAGCCCGCACUACAAUGAAGAGUAGCACCUGCUCGCCACAACUAGAGAAAGCCUGUGCGCAGCAACGAAGACCCAACGCGGCCAAAAAUAAAAUGAAUAAAAUCAAUCAACCAAUCAAUCCUUUCUGGGGGCAGGGAGUGUCUUUUAUUUCUAUCCAGGCAGCUUUGUGAUCUUUCUAGAGGUGGAGUCACAUUUGGGGGGGGACUUAGCAGCAGAGUCUCAUGUGUCCUCUUAGGCCUUAUUUCAAAGGGUUCUGCAGGAGUCACUUUGUCACCUAUUUUUGUGUAAGUGGAGUAAAGGGAACAGAGGUAUGAUUACGUACAUGCUUUAGGGGCAGGUAUGGGACAGCACCCUAACAUUCUUAAAGACAAAAUACUCUUACCUGAGGUGACAACAUUUAUUAUCAAGGAAGUGUAGAGAUCCUUUGUUGCUGGUAUAAUAAGCAGGUGACAUCAGGCCACAGAGGACAUACAUUUUCAUAGUACAUCAAUAUUUCCUUGAUUUUGCUGUUACUGAUAGGAGACAUGUAAUUGGCCUUUGCUCAUUCAGGAAUCCUUAUCAUUUGCAUGAUUUCAGAUUUUAAUAAGAUAUUUGAUUGACAGAGGAAAACUAGACUUUGAGGGAACUACAUAAUAGACUAUCCAUAGUGUGGAAUCUUAGAAUAUUUUCUAGCAAAAUUUGAUGGAAUCCUUCUGAAGAAGUUCAAACCAGGAAGAAACAAUAUUAAAUAAUCCUAAACAUUGCAAUGGAGUUUGGGACACUAAGGUUGAUUAGGCUGUUUGUUUUGUGAUGUUCCCCAGGGUUAUUUUGUUGAGAGUUUGCCAUUAAGUGGUCUAAUUGUGUCAGUGGAUGGGGGCCUUUUCAAUUUGCAUAAUUUCCUCAGGGGACCGUAGCUGCUAAUUUGGUGAUUAAUUAUCCAUAUUACACAUUGUUUAUUUGACCAUGCCUAGAUUAAUUUCUUUUUCCCAGCAAAUCAUUUAGAUAUAAAUUUGCAUAUCUUGAUUACAUUUUAAUGCCUUGGCUAUCAUUGUCUCUUCCCUGGACACCUCAUCAGAUUAUAGAAGAGUGCUCAAGCAGAGAAUGAUGGAAUGUCUUAAAUGACAUUGCACAUCAGUGGACAGAUAAUGCACAUGACUUAUUUUUAAUGAAGAAUGUGUUCUUCCAUAAUCAAGUAUAACUUCCUUCUUUAUAACUGGAAUACAGAUGAGAGGAUAGACAUGGAGCAGCCAUUUUGGAGGUCUGUGGCAACCAUGAAAAUAAAAGCCAUAUGUGAAGGAUGAUGAAACAAAAACAUAAAAAGAAGCUAUAAUGAUGUAAUGGAACUUCCGGUACCAUGCUUAGCUGUGUACUAUGGAUUUUUAAAAAAUAUGAUAAAAUAUCAACCUGUUUGGUAAAGCCACUGUUUCCCAGUAUUUUUUUCACAUCACAAAAUAUAUAGAAAAUGAUAAUAUUUGAUACUUACAAGGAAAAGGCAACUCAGACAAAGUUGAAUAUUCAGAAUGCUCUUUUUGCUCUCAAGUAGAAGUACCUUAUCUUGUCACACCUAUAACACAUCGGCAAAACAAUAAUGUACUGUGUAGCACGCCUGUUGGGAAUCUCUGACUAAACCACAACAGUCAUAUUGUUUUUUCAAGGAGCUGAACAUAAUUUCUUACUAAUAGAGUUUCUCUAGCUAGACAAUGAGAUUAUUGAGAGUAAAACUAUGCAUUAUUUAUCUUGUUUCUCUCUUACCCAGUAUGCUGCUAGAAAUACAGUAAUUACUCCACAAAUAUUUAUUGAAUAAAUGAAAAGAAAAAAUAAUUCAUUAUUUCAGAUUGACUGGUUUUCUCAUAGUUCUGGAUUGUGCUCCUUUCUGACUAAAAGGCGUUAUUCAUUUUCUCCCUGCCUGGAAAAACUUCCUAAUUCCUCUCCAUGUACCCAAAUCCUAUUCAUUCUUCAAAGUUCUUCUUAACUCUCAUCUCUUCCAUAAAACUCUUCUUAACAUUUUGGGUCAGAUCAUACCAUUUUAUUCCUUUCUCUGUACUUCUAUAAUUCAUGCUGAAAGAAAGGUUCACUGUGGCCUUAAAAAUACAGGUGUCCUCCAACUAAUGACCCAGCUUUUCCAGGUCAUAUGCUAGCCAUAUUUCCUAAUGACAGAAGGCUGUACUUUGGAUAUUCCUUUUCUAAAAACAUAUCUCAUUCCAUGAAAAUACAAACAAUUGAUGACAAAAUAAAAAAUUAAUCAAGCAAACAAUAAAAAAAAUAAGAAUUACAUUUUAAAUGUUCUCCUUGGGGCAAUGCUUUGUCUGAGAUAAAUCAGCUGCAGUUUCCUAAAGUAUGAAUCCAGUAAAGUUGGGAUAAGCACACUAAAUUAGUCAGAAUCUCCCUAGGUUAAACACUGAGAUUUUUCAGCUCUUAGAACUGCAUUUAGAGAUAUUAUCAUCUGUCCCAAAAUUUCUACUGAAAAUUUGAUACAAGGUAGGCUUAUAAAGGUCUUUGGAUGGUAAACUAGAGCUGGGCCUUUUAUUUCCUGCAACAAUUCUCUCCUGUCUAAUUCAUCACAUUCAAUACUGUGGAGAAAACUCACCUUUCUGGACAUAAUUAGAUGCUUUUGGAUCAAUGCUUAGAGCUUCCCCUUGAGCGCUAGGAAUUCACUAGUAUUCCUCUUGCUACAAUCAAAUUAUUCUUUCCUCACUCUAAAAUAUCUUUUAUUUUUCACUUUUCCUGUUUUUCAGUAUUUUGGAGAGAUAAUAUUUUACCAGAAUUUUUGCUCAGGUGUGUUUGAUUGUACAUUCAUAUCAUCAAAAGUUAUUGCAUUUAUAUCCAUGUAUUUAGUGAACUGGAUACUGUUUAAACAGUCUGGUGUAUCACCCUCCUACUGCUUUCUUUUAGCUGGCUUUGAAGAAUUACUCAGGCCUCAGUUUGAGUCUACCAUGAGGAACACUGCCAUCUAACAUAGUACCUUUUUAGUAUAUCCAAAAGGGUACUAUAAUAUUUUUGAAUUUGAUAUAUUUAAUGUUUCUAGAAUUUGCAGCCUAUUAAGACCUUUAUUCUUUGUUGGAGUAUCAUUUGUAGGUAACCCCUUUAAAAUCUCUACUGAUAAAUACAGCAGGACUAGUUGAGAUGUUGAAGAAGGGGCAAAGACUGAGAAAUGUACACUAGCCUUAGACCAAAAUUUUCUACUGUAGCUCUUAAAAUUUUUGUGACUUUGGACAAUAACUAAGUCACUAUAAGUCUUUGCUUUCUCAUCUGGAAAAUGAAGCUGGUUCUAAACUUACCUACCACACAGAGUUGUUAUAAAAAUUCAUUAACAUAUACAACAUGCUUUGUAAAUUGAAAACUUUAUUGUGAAAAUCCAACUACAUAUGUUAGUAUCCAGUAUUCACACAUUGACCCACAUUCUCCCUAUGAAAGGGAAUAGUGUUUUUCAUAUUGUAGGGCUAUUUCACUAUUUUGAAUUGUAUUAAUGUUCUUAAUCAUUUGGUUAAUGUAUCCCUUGGAUAUUUCUGGGUUGGUUUACUCCCAGUUUGCUACCAAACUGAAAUAUUACUGUACUGUACUCUGUUCUCAUUGAGGGAAGAAAUGCUUACCUUCUUGCUUAAAGUGAUUUAAAUCUGAAAUAAUGGGCUUUACACCUUCAAAUUUUUUAUAUUCCUUGAUAACUGGAUGGGUAAUAAAUGUUCUAAAUUUGUUGAGCAUUAAACACUCAUGGCUUAUAAACAGA